rnacentral:lncRNA from 1 species
AGCUUUGGAAUUUUUUUACAACAUAACUCCACAUGCUUCUUGAUGUCUUGACCUCAUCAACUUUAGGGGUAGAUCUCUAAAUUAUAACUGGGAGGGGUAGUUCUUGGGAGAGGUGAUUGAAUUUCACUAGCUUUUUUUGUGUACGUUUUCAUGGAUGUUUGGAUGGAACACAUGUAUUUGUUGAUAGUUUUAGGCAUUCGAUAGUGUAGCUAAAGUUUAGAUAUUGGAUUUUAGCUACCUCCCCUUGGAAAUUCAUUGUAUCCAAAUGUUUGUAUCUCUUCUGCUAAAUGUGAUUGUUUGAAUUUAAGGAGGCUGAAAUGUCUUUUCUAUUUCACGGCAUUCGUUGAUACAAAAUUUAUAGAGAUGAAAGAACACGCCCUCGGUGGCAAAGAUUGUGUUAAAUCAACAUCUUCCUUGUAGAUAGCAUUUAAACUUUUUAAACCGAGAAAAUAAAGAUUGGAGGUUUUUUAUAUUAGUGGAACAAGAAUUUGACAAACAUAGCAAGGUCUUCAUUUUUUUUGCAAUUACUAAUGUCAAUUUUCAUCAGAGAAGGAAGGCCAUUCCAUGACCCUGUAGCAGAUAAGCAUUCACAUUGAUCAUUGUUGAUAUAAUAUUUGAUGCAGAUGUUGAUACAAUAGCAGCAGUGAGGCCAUUCUGAUACUAUUAAAUACUGAAUAUUCAUGAAACUAAUCACUAGUAUUAGUAAUCUAUUGACGGUUAACUGAACCAUUAAUGGUAUUCACAAUCGUUAGGUAAAACUAAGGUGGUCUUGGGUUUUCAAAAAUCCAAAUCCAAAUAUUUGGAUCAAAUUUAAAAUCCAAAUCCAUAUUUUUUCAAAAAUAAUUUGGAUUUCUAUAAAUCCAAAUCCAAAUAUUUGGAUUUCUAUAAAUCCAAAUCCAAAUAUUUGGAUUGAAUCUAAAAUUCAAAUCCAUAUUUUUUAUAAAUUUAUAUAAUAUAAAAAAAUUAUUAGUGUAAUGUAAUUUUUUUUUAUAAAGAUUAAUUAUUAAAUUUUUUAAUGUUAAACUUAUGUUUUCAAUUAGUUAUUAAUUUUAAUAUUUUAUAGUAGCUUAACAUUUUUAUAUUUACGCCAAUCUUAAUCAAUUCUUUCUUUUAACUAUAUUCUAUUCACUAGGUAAAUCUUAUUUUUUUUUUCUUUGAUAAGUCAUUUAUUAUUUAUUUAAUAUAUAUUUAAAUAAAUACGUUUGAUUUUAGGAGAAAUUUUUUAUCCUGAUUUUAUUUUCAAUUAUAUAUUCAGAUAAAAUAUAAAUUAAAUAAUUUUAAUAUGUUUAAUUUAAAAUUUUCGUAUUAUGCAUAUUUUAAUUUUGAUAAAAAAACUUAAUAAAAAAUUACUCCGUUAUUUUUAUUAAGGUAAAACAUUCUCUAUUUUUUUUUGUUAUAAAAAUGAUUUAAUUUUUAAAAUAUUAAAAUAAAUUGUAUAAAAGGGAUUAUUUUUCCCUGAUGUCAAUUCAGUAGAAAAAAUUUAUUUUUCAAAAUUCUAAAAUGAAUACCCUCUUGAUGAAAAACAAAAAUUGAAUAUUUUUAUUUCUUGUAUGAAUGUGAAUUCUGAAAGUCAGGGACUAUCCAAUAGAAGAAUACCAAUGAAUGUCAGGAAGCGUAACCGGGUUCAAACAUCUCAAAUGACUGUAAGUGAGCAUGAUGGAGAAGCCAGUGAAGGACAUUCUGAUAGUGUCAUACCACAUGCUUCUUGAUGUCUUGACCUCAUCAACUUUAGGGAUGAUGUCGGAAAUGAUCUUGUAUUAACAAUUGGAUGUAGAUCUCUAAAUUAUAACCACGAGGGGUAGUUCUUAGGAGAGGUGAUUGGAUUUCUCUAGCUUUUUUUGUGUACGUUUUCAUGGAUGUUUGGAUGGAACAUAUGGUAUUUGUUGAUAGUUUUAGGCAUUCGAUAGUGUAGCUAAACUUUAGAUAUUGGAUUUUAGCUACCUCCCCUUGGAAAUUGAUUGUAUCCAAAUGUUGUAUCUCUUCUGCUAAAUGUGAUUGUUUGAAUUUAAGGAGGGUGAAAUGU